UACGGGGGGAGCAAGCGUUGUUCGGAUUUACUGGGCGUAAAGGGCGCGUAGGCGGCCAGCACAAGUCAGUUGUGAAAUCUCCGGGCUUAACUCGGAAAGGUCAACUGAUACUGUGCGGCUAGAGUGCAGAAGGGGCAACUGGAAUUCUCGGUGUAGCGGUGAAAUGCGUAGAUAUCGAGAGGAACACCUGCGGCGAAGGCGGGUUGCUGGGCUGACACUGACGCUGAUGCGCGAAAGCCAGGGGGGCGAACGGG
rnacentral:rRNA from 1 species